AUGUUAUUAACAUAUACUCACAGAGAUAGGAAUUUCCUGAAUAAUCGGCCAUUCAAUGUACAUUGUGAUAUGUAGUCAUAUGAUUUGCUAACUUCCAAUUGCAGGGAAAAAAAACCCCACCUGAAUUGACUGAAUUAGUUAUCUUGUUUACCUUAUUAUCCACGUUUUUAUUGUAACCUGAUGUUAUAGAUGUGUGUGUGUAUGAUUGUAAGUGCCAUUGAUUUGACAGGGAUUUUGGUGUCUUUCUUUGCAACCAUUAUUUAUUAAUGUUUUCACAUACUAAUACCUAUUUGAUUUGUGAUUAGUGUAUUUGUGUUUGGAUGUAUUAUGCUUAAUUAAAGUGAAAACAAUAGUUUGGAGUAGAGGCUUAAAACAAACUGUUUCUCCAUGUUUAUUUUGCUCCUAGUCUGGUCACUCUUCAUCUAGAGAGGAGCUGCACUUGUAGCAUUUACAAUUAUAAAAGGAGUUUCAGCUGUCCUUGUACAAUUUACUUUAAUUUUAGUGAUAUUCAUGGGAUGUUAACUAUAAAAGGAAAGACUGAAGAUUCAGUGACUAGGAUUUUCCAAAUUUGGGAUUUUUGUGUUAACUAUAGGAAACACAACUUGAUACUCACCAUCAACACAUUGAAUCAAAUUUGGUGACAAAGAGUUGCUAUACAUGUUGUCUUCUCAUAUAUCUUUUUGAUGAUGCUUUUCUUCUUCUUCAUGUGUAAUUUGUUAAAUUUCAUUUGUCAGUGCUUUUGUUAGACUUGCACUCUUGUUCACUUAGCUAUCAGAUGUCGACAUUUAUCUUGAUGAUAGAAUCACUAUAAGCAUUUCAUUUAUGCAUAUUCUGAAGCUUCAAAGAGUGUUAUGCAGAUUUUAUGGGAAAUUGGAACAUCUGGGUACACUGGUUCUGGAACCACAUGGAUAAAGGAGUGGACCUCCGCCUUUGAAUCGUUGACCCAUUAUGCCAGAAUCUCUUAAAUGAUUUAUCUACGUGUUGCCUUCCUUUUAGUUUUGUUGUAGUAUAGUCAUUUUAUUUUAUAAGCAUAUGUCAUUCAAGGUGACCUUUAAAGAGGAUGCUUAUGAAAGGGAAAACUUUCUGGCUACAAAAUAUCCUUACAGGCAUUAGAUAUAUAAUCUUUAUAUACAUGGAGAUGCACUUUACAGGAGUAUUGCAAGUGUUUGAUGGUGGUUUUCCUUUCCUUGACAUUGUCUGAUAUAUGAUUUUGUCACUGGUUUCCUCUUCAAUCUAAAUGCAGUGAUUUAAACAUGUCCAUCUAAUAAAUGCAGGAUAUCAACUGAACUUGCUGCCUUGUCUAGUCAGCAACAUGGUGCCUCGUUUCAAGACUAAAGCAGCAACGAUAAUUUGUUCCAGCGAAAUCUGGGCAUAUCCAAUGAUCUCUCAAGUGAUCCCAACCAACAUUCACACAGAUCCUUGAAAAGCUAUACCAUGCCAGCCACGUCAUCAUUGGAAAUGAGUUGGUGAAGCUAGCAUCCAUUCACCUCUCAGUCAAUGAUUGUGCUUCUGCAAUGGAUACCAUAAAAUGGGUAGAUGCAAUAUUUUCACUGUAUUAUGGAUCUCACACGUCGAAGCUAUUUCCAUAUUUGGAAAAUCUCAAAAGAAAAGUUCUAAAGCUCGCUCCAUAAUGAGAAACCUUCUGUUUUAUCUGUUCAGUUGGCUGGCCGCAGAUGUAAUGAAUGUGGACAACCACUUCCUGAAAGUUAUGCGCCCCCUGCAGAUGAACCUUGGACAACUGGAAUUUUCAGUCAAUUGUUGCCAAAACUGCCUUGUCAACUGAAUGUGUCUCAUCUAAUGUUCUGGUACCUGUGUCUCAAUUCUGCUCUUAACUCAUCUCAGCCAUCAGUUAGCACCACUGAUACAUCUCUGUCUUCUGGCAAUGGAGCUUUGGAUCCUAUGGAUACGUCUCCUUGUUCUAUGGAUAUCAUGCAUGCAGA